rnacentral:tRNA from 2 species
GCGCCGGUAGCUCAGCGGUAGAGCAGCGGGCUCAUAACCUGUCAGACCCUGGUUCGAAUCCAGGCCGGCGCA